rnacentral:rRNA from 1 species
UACGGGGGGAGCAAGCGUUGUUCGGAAUCACUGGGCGUAAAGGGAGUCUAGGCGGUUUGGUAAGUGGGAUGUGAAAUCCCCGGGCUCACCCCGGGACCUGCAUCCCAAACUGCUGAGCUUGAGUACAGGAGAGGGUGGGGGAAUUCCAGGUGUAGCGGUGAAAUGCGUAGAUAUCUGGAGGAACACCGGUGGCGAAGGCGGCAUCCUGGACCAAUACUGACGCUGAGGAGCGAAAGCCAGGGGAGCAAACGGG